rnacentral:rRNA from 1 species
CUUACGAUCGCUCUUUCCUAUUGCCCACCCGCCCUAACACUGUAAGAUACUCUUGCAAUGAAAGGGUAGCAACCAGAAGAAAGCCGACUAGCCCACCCAGGUUGGGUAUUCCCGGAUAGGAGUCCGCUGCACUCCUCGGUCCCAAAGAUCGCAUCCAUGGCUGCCUAUAACACCCCCGAAGGGGCCACAUUGCUGCCAUUCUUUUACGACCCUCAAAACCGAUGCUGACCUGCCCUACGCAAAAGUGCACCAGUAGAAUGGAUGCAACAUAGUCCACCUAUUCUACUAG